rnacentral:rRNA from 1 species
AGUGAACGCUGGCGGUAGGCCUAACACAUGCAAGUCGAACGGCAGCACAGUAAGAGCUUGCUCUUACGGGUGGCGAGUGGCGGACGGGUGAGGAAUACAUCGGAAUCUACUUUUUCGUGGGGGAUAACGUAGGGAAACUUACGCUAAUACCGCAUACGACCUACGGGUGAAAGUAGGGGAUCUUCGGACCUUGCGCGAUUGAAUGAGCCGAUGUCGGAUUAGCUAGUUGGCGGGGUAAAGGCCCACCAAGGCGACGAUCCGUAGCUGGUCUGAGAGGAUGAUCAGCCACACUGGAACUGAGGCACGGUCCAGACUCCUACGGGAGGCAGCAGUGGGGAAUAUUGGACAAUGGGCGCAAGCCUGAUCCAGCCAUACCGCGUGGGUGAAGAAGGCCUUCGGGUUGUAAAGCCCUUUUGUUGGGAAAGAAAAGCAGCAGGUUAAUACCCCGCUGUUCUGACGGUACCCAAAGAAUAAGCACCGGCUAACUUCGUG